rnacentral:rRNA from 1 species
UACAGAGGUCCCAAGCGUUGUUCGGAAUUACUGGGCGUAAAGCGCACGUAGGCGGAUAUUUAAGUCAGGGGUGAAAUCCCGGGGCUCAACCCCGGAACUGCCUUUGAUACUGGGUAUCUCGAGUCCGAGAGAGGUGAGUGGAAUUCCGAGUGUAGAGGUGAAAUUCGUAGAUAUUCGGAGGAACACCAGUGGCGAAGGCGGCUCACUGGCUCGGUACUGACGCUGAGGUGCGAAAGCGUGGGGAGCAAACAGG